rnacentral:rRNA from 1 species
CAGUCGCCGCGGUAAAACGUAGGUGGCAAGCGUUGUCCGGAAUUAUUGGGCGUAAAGGGCUCGCAGGCGGUUUCUUAAGUCUGAUGUGAAAGCCCCCGGCUCAACCGGGGAGGGUCAUUGGAAACUGGGAAACUUGAGUGCAGAAGAGGAGAGUGGAAUUCCACGUGUAGCGGUGAAAUGCGUAGAGAUGUGGAGGAACACCAGUGGCGAAGGCGACUCUCUGGUCUGUAACUGACGCUGAGGUGCGAAAGCGUGGGGAGCGAACAGGAUUAGAUACCCCCGUAGUCCCUGUCUCUUAUAC